UCGGGAAUUUUGGGCAAUGGGGGAAACCCUGACCCAGCAACGCCGCGUGAAGGAUGAAGUAUUUCGGUAUGUAAACUUCGAAAGAAUAGGAAGAAUAAAUGACGGUACUAUUUAUAAGGUCCGGCUAACUACGUGCCAGCAGCCGCGGUAAUACGUAGGGACCAAGCGUUGUUCGGAUUUACUGGGCGUAAAGGGCGCGUAGGCGGCAUGACAAGUCACUUGUGAAAUCUCUGGGCUUAACCCAGAACGGCCAAGUGAUACUGUCGCGCUAGAGUGCAGAAGGGGCAAUCGGAAUUCUUGGUGUAGCGGCGAAAUGCGUAGAUAUCAAGAGGAACACCUGAGGUGAAGACGGGUUGCUGGGCUGACACUGACGCUGAGGCGCGAAAGCCAGGGGAGCAAACGGGAUUAGAUACCCCCGUAGUCCCUGAGCGGGCUGGCAAGGCGCAU
rnacentral:rRNA from 1 species